ACGGGAGGCAGCAGUGGGGAAUAUUGCACAAUGGGGGAAACCCUGAUGCAGCGAUGCCGCGUGAAGGAUGAAGAUUUUCGGAUCGUAAACUUCUAUCAGCAAGGAAGAAAACGGACAGUACUUGACUAAGAAGCCCCGGCUAACUACGUGCCAGCAGCCGCGGUAAUACGUAGGGGGCAAGCGUUAUCCGGAAUUACUGGGUGUAAAGGGUGCGUAGGCGGCAUAGCAAGUUUGAUGUGAAAUACAGGGGCUUAACCCCUGUCAUGCAUCAAAAACUACUAAGCUAGAGUGCAGGAGAGGAAAGCGGAAUUCCUAGUGUAGCGGUGAAAUGCGUAGAUAUUAGGAAGAACACCGGUGGCGAAGGCGGCUUUCUGGACUGCAACUGACGCUGAGGCACGAAAGCGUGGGGAGCAAACAGGAUUAGAUACCCUGGUA
rnacentral:rRNA from 1 species